GCGGGACUGAAGCGCUGCUGAGGAGGGGAGCAGGAGGAGGAGGAGGAGGAGGCGACUGGGCAGCAGCCAGCAUCUGUGUGCCCUAAACAGUCUGGGGAGCCCUUUGACCACUGAACCACUUGCACACACAGUUGAGUGUCAUGGACCGAAUCCAGCCAGCUGGGUGCUCGAGGACCUGGUUUACUAUUGUGUGGAUGUCUGAAGCCCAAAAAAAAACUGAAAAAGGCACAAGCUGGCUGGCCUGCAGUAACCUAAGGCAAACACUUUCCCGGGACCAUCUGGAAAUCAUCUCGCCCGCAGAGCCAGCGAAAGUACAGAGCAGAAGCUACGUUUACAACUCGGUGAUAACAACCGGCCGACUUGAACUGCAUGGUUGAACAAUUCAUGCACCAUUGCCUGUUCACAACAUCUCAUAAAGCAUUCUGUUGUAAUCAUUUCCAUUGUAUUUUAUUUUAUUCUGCAGUUUUUGUACACUUGUAGUCCUCGUCUAUGCAUCACUUAAUUGGAAGACGGUGUGCUAUGACGUGCAGUGUAAUGCUGUGUUGUGUCACAUGCUGAUUUGGGUUUAA